GAAAGCUUGGCGAUACAGGGUGAUAGCCCCGUAACCGACGCUUCAUCGAGCGUGAAAUCGAGUAGGGCGGGACACGUGAUAUCCUGUCUGAAUAUGGGGGGACCAUCCUCCAAGGCUAAAUACUCCUGACUGACCGAUAGUGAACCAGUACCGUGAGGGAAAGGCGAAAAGAACCCCUGUGAGGGGAGUGAAAUAGAACCUGAAACCGUGUACGUACAAGCAGUAGGAGCACCUUCGUGGUGUGACUGCGUACCUUUUGUAUAAUGGGUCAGCGACUUAUAUUCAGUGGCAAGGUUAACCGUAUAGGGGAGCCGUAGCGAAAGCGAGUCUUAACUGGGCGCUCAGUCUCUGGAUAUAGACCCGAAACCGGGUGAUCUAGCCAUGGGCAGGUUGAAGGUUGAGUAACAUCAACUGGAGGACCGAACCGACUAAUGUUGAAAAAUUAGCGGAUGACUUGUGGCUAGGGGUGAAAGGCCAAUCAAACUCGGAGAUAGCUGGUUCUCCCCGAAAGCUAUUUAGGUAGCGCCUCGGACGAAUACUACUGGGGGUAGAGCACUGUUAAGGCUAGGGGGUCAUCCCGACUUACCAACCCUUUGCAAACUCCGAAUACCAGUAAGUACUAUCCGGGAGACACACGGCGGGUGCUAACGUCCGUCGUGGAGAGGGAAACAACCCAGACCGCCAGCUAAGGUCCCAAAGUAUUGCUAAGUGGGAAACGAUGUGGGAAGGCUCAGACAGCUAGGAUGUUGGCUUAGAAGCAGCCAUCAUUUAAAGAAAGCGUAAUAGCUCACUAGUCGAGUCGGCCUGCGCGGAAGAUGUAACGGGGCUAAGCAAUACACCGAAGCUGCGGCAAUAUCUUUUAGAUAUUGGGUAGGGGAGCGUUCUGUAAGCCGUUGAAGGUGAAUCGUAAGGUUUGCUGGAGGUAUCAGAAGUGCGAAUGCUGACAUGAGUAACGACAAAGGGGGUGAAAAACCUCCUCGCCGGAAGACCAAGGGUUCCUGUCCAACGUUAAUCGGGGCAGGGUGAGUCGACCCCUAAGGUGAGGCCGAAAGGCGUAAUCGAUGGGAAACGGGUUAAUAUUCCCGUACUUCUGACUAUUGCGAUGGGGGGACGGAGAAGGCUAGGUGGGCCAGGCGACGGUUGUCCUGGUUCAAGUGCGUAGGCUUGAGAGUUAGGUAAAUCCGGCUCUCUCUAAGGCUGAGACACGACGUCGAGCUGCUACGGCAGUGAAGUCAUUGAUGCCAUGCUUCCAGGAAAAGCCUCUAAGCUUCAGAUAGUCAGGAAUCGUACCCCAAACCGACACAGGUGGUCGGGUAGAGAAUACCAAGGCGCUUGAGAGAACUCGGGUGAAGGAACUAGGCAAAAUGGUACCGUAACUUCGGGAGAAGGUACGCUCUUGAUGGUGAAGUCCCUCGCGGAUGGAGCUGACGAGAGUCGCAGAUACCAGGUGGCUGCAACUGUUUAUUAAAAACACAGCACUGUGCAAAAUCGCAAGAUGACGUAUACGGUGUGACGCCUGCCCGGUGCCGGAAGGUUAAUUGAUGGGGUUAGCGCAAGCGAAGCUCUUGAUCGAAGCCCCGGUAAACGGCGGCCGUAACUAUAACGGUCCUAAGGUAGCGAAAUUCCUUGUCGGGUAAGUUCCGACCUGCACGAAUGGCGUAAUGAUGGCCACGCUGUCUCCACCCGAGACUCAGUGAAAUUGAAAUCGCUGUGAAGAUGCAGUGUACCCGCGGCUAGACGGAAAGACCCCGUGAACCUUUACUACAGCUUGGCACUGAACAUUGAACCUACAUGUGUAGGAUAGGUGGGAGGCUAUGAAGACGUGACGCCAGUUGCGUUGGAGCCGUCCUUGAAAUACCACCCUUGUAUGU
rnacentral:rRNA from 1 species